AUACGAAGGGGGCUAGCGUUGUUCGGAAUUACUGGGCGUAAAGCGCAUGUAGGCGGACAUUUAAGUCAGGGGUGAACUUCCCGGGCUCAACCUGGGGGCUGCGCUUGAUACUGAUUGGCUUGAAUGCGGGAGAGGAUAGUGGAAUUCCCAGUGUAGAGGUGAAAUUCGUAGAUAUUGGGAAGAACACCAGUGGCGAAGGCGGCUAUCUGGCCCGUGAUUGACGCUGAGGCGCGAAAGCGUGGGGAGC
rnacentral:rRNA from 1 species